UAAGGAAUAUUGCUCAAUGGGAGAAAUCCUGAAGCAGCAACGCCGCGUGGAGGAUGAAGGGUCUAUGACUUGUAAACUCCUGUAAAGAAGGAAAAAAUUCCCAUUUGAUGGGAGAUGAUGGUACUUCUGGAGUAAGCCCCGGCUAACUACGUGCCAGCAGCCGCGGUAAUACGUGGGGGGCAAGCGUUGUCCGGAUUUACUGGGUGUAAAGGGUGCUCAGGCGGAUUUGUAAGUCAGAGGUGAAAUCUUACAGCUUAACUGUGAAACUGCCUUUGAUACUGCAAGCCUAGAGUAUGGAAGAGAGUGAUGGAAUAUCUGGUGUAGCAGUGAAAUGCGUAGAUAUCAGAUAGAACACCAAUGGCGAAGGCAGUCACUUGGUCCAUUACUGACGCUAAAGCACGAAAGCGUGGGUAGCAAACA
rnacentral:rRNA from 1 species